rnacentral:rRNA from 1 species
UGUGAUUCGUCACACUAUCAUUAACUGAAUUCAUAGGUUAAUGAGGCGAACCGGGGGAACUGAAACAUCUAAGUACCCCGAGGAAAAGAAAUCAACCGAGAUUCCCCCAGUAGCGGCGAGCGAACGGGGAGGAGCCCAGAGCCUGAAUCAGUGUGUGUGUUAGUGGAAGCGUCUGGAAAGGCGCGCGAUACAGGGUGACAGCCCCGUACACAAAAAUGCACAUGCUGUGAGCUCGAUGAGUAGGGCGGGACACGUGGUAUCCUGUCUGAAUAUGGGGGGACCAUCCUCCAAGGCUAAAUACUCCUGACUGACCGAUAGUGAACCAGUACCGUGAGGGAAAGGCGAAAAGAACCCCGGCGAGGGGAGUGAAAAAGAACCUGAAACCGUGUACGUACAAGCAGUGGGAGCCUCUUUAUGGGGUGACUGCGUACCUUUUGUAUAAUGGGUCAGCGACUUAUAUUCUGUAGCAAGGUUAACCGAAUAGGGGAGCCGAAGGGAAACCGAGUCUUAACUGGGCGUUAAGUUGCAGGGUAUAGACCCGAAACCCGGUGAUCUAGCCAUGGGCAGGUUGAAGGUUGGGUAACACUAACUGGAGGACCGAACCGACUAAUGUUGAAAAAUUAGCGGAUGACUUGUGGCUGGGGGUGAAAGGCCAAUCAAACCGGGAGAUAGCUGGUUCUCCCCGAAAGCUAUUUAGGUAGCGCCUCGUGAAUUCAUCUCCGGGGGUAGAGCACUGUUUCGGCAAGGGGGUCAUCCCGACUUACCAACCCGAUGCAAACUGCGAAUACCGGAGAAUGUUAUCACGGGAGACACACGGCGGGUGCUAACGUCCGUCGUGAAGAGGGAAACAACCCAGACCGCCAGCUAAGGUCCCAAAGUCAUGGUUAAGUGGGAAACGAUGUGGGAAGGCCCAGACAGCCAGGAUGUUGGCUUAGAAGCAGCCAUCAUUUAAAGAAAGCGUAAUAGCUCACUGGUCGAGUCGGCCUGCGCGGAAGAUGUAACGGGGCUAAACCAUG